rnacentral:lncRNA from 1 species
CCUCAAAUUUUUUUUUCCUCAAAAAGUGUUUUCAAAUUUUUUUUUCGUUUCCUUAUUCGGUUUCUUUUUCCUUAUUCGAUUUUCAUUUCCUUAUACAGUUUCUAUUUCCUUAUUCGAUUUCCAUUUCCUUAUUCGAUUUUCAUUUCCUUAUUCGGUUUCUUUUUCCUUUUUCAAUGUUCAUUUCCUUUUUCGGUUUCUAUUUCCUUAUUGGAUUUUCUUUUCCUUAUUCGAUUUCCAUUUCCUUAUUCAAUUUCCAUUUCCUUAUUCGGUUUCUUUUUCCUUUUUCAAUGUUCAUUUCCUUUUUCGGUUUCUAUUUCCUUAUUGGGUUUCUAUUUCCUUAUUGGGUUUCUAUUUCCUUAUUGGGUUUCUAUUUCCUUAUUGGAUUUUCGUUUCCUUAUUCGAUUUCCAUUUCCUUAUUCGAUUUCCAUUUCCUAAUUCGGUUUCUUUUUCCUUUUUCAAUAUUCAUUUCCUUUUUCGGUUUCUAUUUCCUUAUUC